UUCAAUUGUACCAGUCGUUAGUUAUUUUUUUUCGUUAACGAAUUUGUCAAGAGGAACAACAUCCUGGCAGCGGCUCGCGUAGCAGAGAGUCGAGUAAAAUCUCAUACAGUUGGAUCACGUUCCGUGAACAUUCGUGCUAUUCGUGGCACAUAGUCGGACAGAUAUACAUGGCCCUACGGAAGCUCACAUGGCAAUCAAUCGAUAGCUCGUCAUGUCACGUUCCGUUGUCCUGAAUCGAGCUAAUUACGUAUCUCAGGCUUCUCUUGACCUGAUAAUAUGGGCUGCCUUUUAUGGAACUCCAUUCAUCCGCAUGAUUAGAUCG